rnacentral:rRNA from 1 species
UGCGUAGGCGGAAUGGUAAGUUAGUGGUGAAAUACUCCGGCUCAACCGGAGAACUGCCAUUAAUACUGCCGUUCUUGAGUAUAGUUGAAGUGGGCGGAAUGUAUCAUGUAGCGGUGAAAUGCUUAGAUAUGAUACAGAACACCGAUAGCGAAGGCAGCUUGCUAAACUAUAACUGACGCUCAGGCACGAAAGCGUGGGGAGCAAACAGGAUUAGAUACCCUGGUAGUCC